GGAUCCAGACUUUGAUCAUGGCUCAGGACGAACGCUGGCGGCGCGCCUAACACAUGCAAGUCGAGCGGGAAGCUUUUUAAGGAUUCUUCGGAUGAAUUAAAAAGUGGAGAGCGGCGGACGGGUGAGUAACGCGUGAGAAACCUGCCCUAUACAGGGGGAUAGCCAUUGGAAACGAUGAUUAAUACCCCAUAUGACCACAGUAUCGCAUGAUACAGCGGUGAAAACUCCGGUGGUAUAGGAUGGUCUCGCGUCUGAUUAGCUAGUUGGUGGGGUAACGGCCUACCAAGGCGACGAUCAGUAGCCGGCCUGAGAGGGUGACCGGCCACACUGGAACUGAGACACGGUCCAGACUCCUACGGGAGGCAGCAGUGGGGAAUAUUGCACAAUGGGCGAAAGCCUGAUGCAGCGACGCCGCGUGAACGAUGAAGGCUUUCGAGUCGUAAAGUUCUGUUCUUGGGGAAGAUAACGACGGUACCCAAGGAGAAAGCACCGGCUAAAUACGUGCCAGCAGCCGCGGUAAU
rnacentral:rRNA from 1 species